AUUGAACGCUGGCGGCAUGCCUUACACAUGCAAGUCGAACGGCAGCGGGGGAGAAGCUUGCUUUUCCUGCCGGCGAGUGGCGAACGGGUGAGUAAUACAUCGGAACGUGCCCUGUAGUGGGGGAUAACUAGUCGAAAGAUUAGCUAAUACCGCAUACGACCUGAGGGUGAAAGUGGGGGACCGCAAGGCCUCAUGCUAUAGGAGCGGCCGAUGUCUGAUUAGCUAGUCGGUGGGGUAAAGGCCUACCAAGGCGACGAUCAGUAGUUGGUCUGAGAGGACGAUCAGCCACACUGGGACUGAGACACGGCCCAGACUCCUACGGGAGGCAGCAGUGGGGAAUUUUGGACAAUGGGCGAAAGCCUGAUCCAGCAAUGCCGCGUGUGUGAAGAAGGCCUUCGGGUUGUAAAGCACUUUUGUCCGGAAAGAAAUGGCUCUGGUUAAUACCUGGGGUCGAUGACGGUACCGGAAGAAUAAGGACCGGCUAACUACGUGCCAGCCGCCGCAGUAA
rnacentral:rRNA from 1 species